rnacentral:rRNA from 1 species
GACGAACGCUGGCGGCGUGCCUAAUACAUGCAAGUUGAGCGAUGAAGCUUGGUGCUUGCACCAAUUUGAAGAGCAGCGAACGGGUGAGUAACGCGUGGGGAAUCUGCCUUUGAGCGGGGGACAACAUUUGGAAACGAAUGCUAAUACCGCAUAAUAACUUUAAACAUAAGUUUUAAGUUUGAAAGAUGCAAUUGCAUCACUCAAAGAUGAUCCCGCGUUGUAUUAGCUAGUUGGUGAGGUAAAGGCUCACCAAGGCGAUGAUACAUAGCCGACCUGAGAGGGUGAUCGGCCACAGUGGGACUGAGACACGGCCCAAACGCCUACGGGAGGCAGCAGUAGGGAAUCUUCGGCAAUGGACGAAAGUCUGACCGAGCAACGCCGCGUGAGUGAAGAAGGUUGUCGGAUCGUAAAACUCUGUUGGUAGAGAAGAACGUUGGUGAGAGUGGAAAGCUCAUCAAGUGACGGUAACUACCCAGAAAGGGACGGCUAACUACGUG